AGCGAACGUUUGCGGCGGGCCUAACACAUGCAAGUCGAACGCACUAGCAAUAGUGAGUGGCGCACGGGUGCGUAACACGUGGGUAAUCAACCCUUCAGCCUGGGAUAACGACUCGAAAGGGUCGCUAAUACCGGAUACGGCGCGAGAGGCUUCGGCUUCUCACGAGAAAGCCACGCAAGGGGCACUGAAGGACGAGCCUGCGGCCCAUCAGCUAGUUGGUGAGGUAAGAGCUCACCAAGGCUAAGACGGGUAGCUGGUCUGAGAGGAUAAUCAGCCACACUGGAACUGAGACACGGUCCAGACUCCUACGGGAGGCAGCAGUGGGGAAUAUUGCGCAAUGGGCGAAAGCCUGACGCAGCCACGCCGCGUGAGCGAUGAAGGCCUCGGUCGGUAAAGACUCUGUGGGAGGAGACGAAGAAAGACCUAGUGAAGAGACAGGCCUGUACGGUAGUCUCCUUACGUCAAGACACCGGCCGUAACUACCGUCGCCACG
rnacentral:rRNA from 1 species